rnacentral:misc_RNA from 1 species
AAGGAUCAUUCCUAAUAUUUCUUUUUUUUUUUCUCGUUGUUUUGUACAUAUCAAAUGAUAUGAUAAGACAGACGAAGGGUGAAGCCUGAAAAACUAAAACCCAAUUUAUGUGUACUGUAUUCAGGUUGAUUUUUGUUUUGAAAAAAACAACUCUCCUGAUUUAAUUUCUUAUAUUAAUCUAUAACGAAAUUUUAUUUUUUGAAACAAAUUAAUAUUUUGAUAUAAUUAAAAUUUAAAUAACAACUUUCAACAAUGGAUCUCUUGGCUCUC